CAGUGAAUGAGUGGUUGACCUAUGAACCAGGAAGUUAUGGUUAGGUUCCGGGUCAGAGCAUAUGCCCAGGUUGCAGGCUGAUUCCCCAAUAUGGGGCAUGCAGGAGGCAGUUGAUCAAUGAUUCUCUCUCCUCAUUAAUGUUUCUCUCUCUCUCCCUCUCC